rnacentral:rRNA from 1 species
UGGGGAAUAUUGGACAAUGGGCGAAAGCCUGAUCCAGCCAUGCCGCGUGUGUGAAGAAGGUCUUCGGAUUGUAAAGCACUUUAAGUUGGGAGGAAGGGCAGUAAGCGAAUACCUUGCUGUUUUGACGUUACCGACAGAAUAAGCACCGGCUAACUCUGUGCCAGCAGCCGCGGUAAUACAGAGGGUGCAAGCGUUAAUCGGAAUUACUGGGCGUAAAGCGCGCGUAGGUGGUUCGUUAAGUUGAAUGUGAAAGCCCCGGGCUCAACCUGGGAACAGCAUCCAAAACUGGCGAGCUAGAGUAGGGCAGGGGGUGGUGGAAUUUCCUGUGUAGCGGUGAAAUGCGUAGAUAUAGGAAGGAACACCAGUGGCGAAGGCGACCACCUGGGCUCAUACUGACACUGAGGUGCGAAAGCGUGGGGAGCAAACAGG